UUAUUAAUUUUAUUAGAAUAACUUAUUUCAAACUAAAAAUUGGAGUCUAGUGUAGAAGAGCGACAUGAACAAAGUAUGUAUAACGAUUUAUUUAUGUCGUUGAACUGGUUAAGGACAGGUACACGCAAAACAUGCGAUUUCCAUCAACCAAGGAAACUUCAAAAUGGCGAAACAGCUGACCGGAUCCCAUUAGCACGGAAAAAGUAGGUUUAGCAGCAGCAAAUAACCGGGUGUUCCAUACAGUUUCCCAAAGAAUUGGUUUAAAUACAGAGUGGUACUUCCUAUGGUUUGAGAAUAAGGUGUUGGUGAUUCAAAUAAAUUUUAGUUGUAAUAAAAUUAUCGAUCCGGUAUAAUGCCUGCAAAUGUUUCUGGGUAUACAUAGAGUCGUUCUGAUCACCCUGUGACAAAUUUAUCGAUAAAAAUAUCGCACUUCCUUAGCGAGAAAAAUCUCAAAAACGCGCGCGGAAACGAAGCUUCGGCAUAAAUUCGUAGUGUAGUGAAUAUAUUAAAAAGAAAGAUAUAUAAAAUAAUUUUAAUUAUGUAAGUGCAUAAAGUUAUGAGCCAAAUGUACGUACAUAUGUGCGUGAGUAGCUACAAAAGAUGUUAGGCUCAUUAUCUGAUAGCGGAAGUGUGUGGUGAAAAUUAGCUUGAAAAUUCGUAUGCAUUUACCAAUAUAAACUAUAUCCGGGUGCAGUUGUAUGGUAU